GUGUCUUUGGGAGAACCACUUGAAAACAUCAAAGUGCCAGUCUGCGUGCAGGUAUUUCAACACGGUAACACAGUGGAAGCGAUGAAGAUGGAACUAUUAUUGCUAAAAUUAAAGACCGAGCACAGCACGGGAAUGGCCGUUGACCCAGCAGCUUCAGGCAGAUGGGCAGAGGACAUUGGUCACCCUGGACGGCACCAUCUCACAGAGACCACAACAGACACUCAUCCUUGUAACGCCAGAGACGAUGGGGGGAGGAAAUUCCAACUCGACCCAGGCCGUGGCUGAACUGGGACGAGCUGGGGAAUCUCCUUUCAGAGAUUUUCAGAUGCUGGUACGAAUUCACCGAUGCGAUCGUCUGAGCGGUGUCCGGUGACGACUUACAGCACACUGCACCGCGUUUUGGUCGGUGUCUCCUGGAUCUCUGGUGCCGUAGAGGUUAAAUCUAUGGAGAUGCGGCGGGUUCGUGUCUGAACAGGACGGGCUUCUCGCUCCACCUCGUACUGACCACUUUUUGAGUACAAAAUCUAAAUGAUAAGUGGCUCCGUCUGUACUGUACCUGCCUCAGUGUCAGCAAAGUGACCGAGUUGUCCCCUGACAGACCCGGGGGUAAUUGGAACAGUGGACUGAGGGGUAGGCACACACACACACACACGCACGCACACACACAAAUCAUUACAUUUACCACUAAGCAUCUCCAUAAGCCCAAACAGGCAUAUCUGACAUAUCCAUCUGCUAUGGCUGGAUCAAGCUGGAUCUCUCUCUCUCUCUCUCUAAAUCAGGGUAAGGGGGUGUGCCGGUGGUAAUGAAGAUGAGGGCAUGACAUGUAAUCACGGGGUUGGUCACUAUGGAUUGUGUCUGCUGUGUUGGUCGUGUGUGACGGACCCUUCACAGUCUCUAAGCAUGUCGCCUGUGCGGACA